rnacentral:rRNA from 1 species
AACGAACGCUGGCGGCAUGCCUAACACAUGCAAGUCGAACGAGACCUUCGGGUCUAGUGGCGCACGGGUGCGUAACGCGUGGGAACCUGCCCUUAGGUUCGGAAUAACUCCCCGAAAGGUGAGCUAAUACCGGAUAAUGUCUUCGGACCAAAGAUUUAUCGCCUUUGGAUGGGCCCGCGUUGGAUUAGCUAGUUGGUAGGGGAAAAGCCUACCAAGGCGACGAUGCAUAGCUGGUCUGAGAGGAUGAUCCGUCACACUGGGACUGAGACACGGCCCAGAAUCGUACGGGAGGCAGCAGUGGGGAAUAUUAGACGAGGGGCGAAAGCCUAAUCCAGCAAUGCCGCGUGAGUGAUGAAGGGCUUAGGGUUGUAAAGCUCUUUUACACGGGAUGAUAAUGACAGUACCGGGAGAAUAAGCACCGGCUAACUACGUG